UACAGAGGUCUCAAGCGUUGUUCGGAUUCAUUGGGCGUAAAGGGUGCGUAGGCGGCGCGGUAAGUCGGGUGUGAAAUCUUCGGAGCUUAACUCCGAAACUGCAUUCGAUACUGCCGUGCUUGAGGACUGGAGAGGAGACUGGAAUUUACGGUGUAGCGGUGAAAUGCGUAGAUAUCGUAAGGAAGACCAGUGGCGAAGGCGGGUCUCUGGACAGUUCCUGACGCUGAGGCACGAAG
rnacentral:rRNA from 1 species